AUUUUUGUCUCUUUUUUGCCCUUCCGUCCACACUGAGACGCGUUUUUAGGAAACAAAACGUAUCUUUUUGAAAACGCUCUCCAAAGUGGAUAAAUUUGAAAACGCCGUUUUCGUGUCGUAGUGUAGACUGUGAAAACGGAGUCUUUAGAAAACGAUGACGCGUUUUUUUGUCAUGUGACACAGUCAUGUUACUAAUUCGUUUACUUUAAUUUCGUUGUGUUUAUGAUUUUAGCGAUGUCGUCCUUACUGUGAGGGUAAGCAGCGUCAUCAGCAAGAUACCGUUCUUUAAAGCGGGCCUGUAUAUCUGCGUAUUUGUUUUGGCACGUCUCCCAGUCUACAUUUUCACUCUCUUUUGCAACUUUGUAUUCAUAUGUUACUCGAAGCAGCAACUCUAAUUUAUUGUCAGUGCAUUUAAAAAAACUCUUUGCUUUUCCUUGACAUUUUGCCACAAUGUUUCAAAGAGCCGGAAAGAAAAUAAACGUCAGGCGGAAAUGACGCGUGCAGAGGCGUCUUACGUUUCAUGCAUGCGCAGUACAGGUUGAAAGCAUUUGUAGUCGUUUCAGUGUGGAUGACAAAAUUUAAAAAAACAAAUAGAAACGAUGUGAAGCGUUUUUAGAGGAAAACUCCGUUUUCAAAUUUUUCCGGAUUAGUGUAGACAUGGCCU
ensembl:processed_transcript